rnacentral:rRNA from 1 species
GAUGAACGCUGGCGGCGUGCCUAAUACAUGCAAGUCGAGCGAAAAGACGAGGAGCUUGCUCCUCUGACGGUAGCGGCGGACGGGUGAGUAACACGUGGAUAACCUACCUAUAAGACUGGGAUAACUUCGGGAAACCGGAGCUAAUACCGGAUAAUAUAUUGAACCGCAUGGUUCAAUAGUGAAAGACGGUUUUGCUGUCACUUAUAGAUGGAUCCGCGCCGCAUUAGCUUGUUGGUAAGGUAACGGCUUACCAAGGCAACGAUGCGUAGCCGACCUGAGCGGGUGAUCGGCCACACUUGAACUGAGACACGGUCCAGACUCCUACGGGAGGCAGCAGUAGGGAAUCUUCCGCAAUGGGCGAAAGCUUGACGGAGCAACUCCGCGUGAGUGAUGAAGGUCUUCGGAUCGUAAAACUCUGUUAUUAGGGAAGAACAAAUGUGUAAGUAACUAUGCACGUCUUGACGGUACCUAAUCAGAAAGCCACGGCUAACUACGUG